AGGUUACCUCCAGAACCUGCCAAGGCACUACGUGAAGCUUUAAGGAGUGGUGUUACCAGUCUGAAAGACAGGCUGACAAUUAAAAUUGAAAAUGAUAUGCGGUAUGGUGAAGUUCAGAGUUGAUCACUGGCUCAUGCAUGCUAAGUACAGCCUGGUGGUGAGUUACAGUCGCGUAGUGAGGAUUUUGGCGCCAUGGAGCGACUCAGUCGCUGGCGCCCCUUCCCCAACUUUUACCUACAUGAUCAAUCAGUGCCGGACAGUUCACCUCACUACCGUAACAAACCUUUCUUGGCCAUCAUUUCAUCAGCAAUGUAAGGCGUCUUUGACCAAACAUCAUUUUUUAUAAUAACUUACAGUCUACUAUUCUUUAUAAAGUUUUGUUCCUUGUAAGAGACCUAGUUUACGUGUAUAGCAAUAU